rnacentral:tRNA from 1 species
GCCGCGGUAGCUCAACUGUUUAGAGCAUCGUACGCGUAAUGCGAAGACGUGGGUUCGUUCCCCACUUGCGGCA